ACAGAGAAGGGGUGAGCCUCACAAGUUGUCAGGCUUCCUGAUUUAUUUUGUGGAGAUUAAAGCCCGAAUGAGCCAGCUCCUUGCAAACCAGCCAUUCUACUCCUGAUGGAGAAGGCAGCUGAGGGAAUUAGCGAGCUUAAUCCCUCCAGCCAGCAGCUACAGGCCGUCCUGGGGCUGGAUAGCUCUGCUUCAAGGGAGAAGCCUCCUGACCUCAAUGGAGGAUCCCUGAGCUAUAGAACUGACGGGGGCUUCAUAUUUGCAGCUGGAAUUUACAUGAGCCUCUGCCCUCUUCCACGGCCAAGUUUCCCUUCAAAUGGACAUUUGAGCAUGCUCUGAUUUUCAGCACUCCCUGGGGAAAAGAAAGAAGAAACCGGGCUGGCAGAAUGGAGGUGAGGGAAGAGGUGGCUGUCUUCAGUAUGUACUCCCCUCCUGAGCCUGGCCAAGAGCUCAUGCACUCUUUCCCCUGCCCUCUUCCUCUGUGUGCCCACUCUUCUGUCACUGUUCCUGCUCAGCCCUCC
rnacentral:lncRNA from 1 species